UAUAGACCUAACAAGACUUGGCCAAAGAAAAAAUAAAACAAAACCUCUUGACCCUCUGCGAAACCUCUCUCUCGUGAAACCUCUCAUAGUCUAGCACCUCGCUUCUAUUCUUUCUUCCCUGAUACAGUGACCCAAAUCCUCUACUUCGAUUUAUUCUUGUCCUUGAAAUCCUAAUUCACAGGUUGUUCUUCAUCUUCAGUGAGAAAUUAGGGUUCGAAUUGGGGCUUGCUCUUCCUUUCUGCAAACCUGCCUCCAACUCCGUCCCCAGGUAGAGCACCAAAUCCGGGCUGAGCUUGGUUGGGCGGACCGACCCUCCUUGGAUCUUAUCCCUGUGUCACGUUUACGCAAUCGAUUCCAGCCCGAUCCACCAAAUGGGUCCUGCCCCAUCUCCUCCACCCAUCGUCGUCGAUUCCACCACCGCCCAGAUGAACUCCGAGAGCUUACGGGCCCACACACAGGUGAGUUUAGGGCUUUCGAAUGUGGGUUAGUAAACUGUAAGACUCUCAUAGUUGUUUUGAUUAUUGAAAUUUUCAUCCGAUUAAGCUCAAUUAGUUUUUUGUCACUUGCAAAGAACUGGUAUAUUUAGUUUUAAAUUUUAUGAACUAUCUUUUCAUUCGGAUUAUAUGUUCUGGAUGAAUUAAUCAAAAUGCUGAGGGUCUGUGGGAUUUGGCGUAAAGAUUACAUCUUUUUAUGAAGAGGCCUGUGGAGUAAAGGAACUAGAGUGGAGGAGAAAAUGAAAUCUGAUUUGCCUCUUGAUUUGCAGUUUUCCAGUUGUCACCCAAGCAUUCAAGAUGUGAAUUGUAUGUUCAGGUUAUUUGAGCUGCCGAUUGAAUAUGACUUUGACUAUGAUGAAUACCACAGGUAAAUGAAGGGGAUGGUGCAUUUUACAAACCAAAGAUAGAUACCAAUGUAUCUGAUGCAUUGAACAUGAAGUUUCAGUGUGCAACAUUACAGCUUGAUUUUCAGCUACCUGCUCGCUUUGAGCUGUAUUACUCAGCAGAGGGUGAAGAAGGCAAGAAGGAGGCACCUGUUAUGAUACACAUAGCCAUUUUCGGUUCUAUUGAGCGUAUGUUUGCUAUA